rnacentral:rRNA from 1 species
CACGUAGGGCGCAAGCGUUGUCCGGAAUUAUUGGGCGUAAAGAGCUCGUAGGUGGUUUGUUACGUCUGCUGUGAAAACCUAGGGCUUAACCCUGGGCUUGCAGUGGAUACGGGCAGACUAGAGGUAGGUAGGGGAGAAUGGAAUUCCUGGUGUAGCGGUGAAAUGCGCAGAUAUCAGGAGGAACACCGGUGGCGAAGGCGGCUAACUGGUCCAGCACUGACGCUGAGGUGCGAAAGCGUGGGGAGCAAACAGG